GUAUCAUUUGCUUUCAGCCUGGAGAACUUCCUUUAGUACUUUCGUGCAACGAAAUCUCUUGGUGACAGUAUAAUCUGAAAAAUGACAUCAAUGCUGAGCAAAGACAUACUUGAACACCUGCUCCUCCCUUGAUUCUGUGAACUGUGUGGUGAUGGGAAACACUUUCAAGUUCAGAAGCUCGAGUUCAGGUGUUGUCAGCUGCACUGAGAGCCACGCAGUAUGACUCUGCAGAUGACCCCAGCAUAGGCCAACAGAAGGUCGAAGAGAAGGUCCACUGCAGAUCCCAGCUCUGCCUCUGACAGUCACAUCCCCCUGCCAGCUUCAUCAUCUCGGAAUGAGCUCUCUGUGGCCAGGAUAUUACAAAGCACAGGGAGUCCUGAGGAUUAAAUGAGGGGAUAUACAUACAGCUGGCCGGGGAAGGAGUGCGCAGGAGCUGGAGACGCAGGAGGAGCCUGCUGCGCAGAGAGCCACACCCUGCAUCAGAGCCUGUGCCCUGGUGGAUAGCAGAGGGUAUUUUAGAAAUGCAAGUAACCCUCAUCUUGAAGUUGCUGGAGAGACCAUCUUGGCUUUGCAAUCUGACCAGGACCAAGAUGUUUCCUUUUUGCCACCCUAGAACCAAGCGACAGAGUCUUCUGGACCCUACUGCACUAGGAAAACAGGAUGGACUCCUCUGGGAAGGUUGUUUCAUGCCUGGCACCUUUGGCUUGUGACCUGAAGGGGAACUGAUUGUAUUUUAUCUGCUGAAGAAGAAAAGAUUUCUGAAACUUCCGCAUUGUGCACCCAAAUGACAGACCCCUUUCCUGUCUGAGGCUCCCAGACUGAAUCUUGGUGGGGACUUAAGUGCAGAUGGCUAGGCCUGUGCCACAUUCCCCAGCCCCACAGGCCUGACCCAGGACACCUUGUGGACAGGGUGCAGGCCUGCCAGCAACUUGUUUUGUUCAAGGCAGACUAUAUUCGAGUCUCCCCUCCCGAUCACUUAUUAGAAGCUCUGAAAUCUUUACUGGACUUGCAUAUUUGUUUCCCUUUUGCUUUUAUAUAAAAUAUAGUUUAUGGUGCUAUAUUUA